GACGAACGCUGGCGGCGUGCUUAACACAUGCAAGUCGAACGGAAAGGCCCUGCUUGCCGGGUGCUCGAGUGGCGAACGGGUGAGUAACACGUGGGUGAUCUGCCCCUUACUUUGGGAUAAGCCUGGGAAACUGGGUCUAAUACUGGAUAGGGCCAUGCUGUAGGUGGUGUGGUGGAAAGAUUAGUUUCGGUAAGGGAUGAGCUCGCGGCCUAUCAGCUUGUUGGUGGGGUAAUGGCCUACCAAGGCGUCGACGGGUAGCCGGCCUGAGAGGGUGGACGGCCACAUUGGGACUGAGAUACGGCCCAGACUCCUACGGGAGGCAGCAGUGGGGAAUAUUGCACAAUGGGCGCAAGCCUGAUGCAGCGACGCCGCGUGGGGGAUGACGGCCUUCGGGUUGUAAACUCCUUUCAGCCAUGACGAAGCCCUUGUGGUGACGGUAGUGGUAGAAGAAGCACCGGCUAACUACGUG
rnacentral:rRNA from 1 species